GAUGAACGCUGGCGGCGUGCCUAAUACAUGCAAGUCGAGCGAACGGACGAGAAGCUUGCUUUUCUGAUGUUAGCGGCGGACGGGGGAGUAAAACGUGGAUAACCUACCUAUAAGACUGGGAUAACUUCGGGAAACCGGAGCUAAUACCGGAUAAUAUUUUGAACCGCAUGGUUCAAAAGUGAAAGACGGUCUUGCUGUCACUUAUAGAUGGAUCCGCGCUGCAUUAGCUAGUUGGUAAGGUAACGGCUUACCAAGGCAACGAUGCAUAGCCGACCUGAGAGGGUGAUCGGCCACACUGGAACUGAGACACGGUCCAGACUCCUACGGGAGGCAGCAGUAGGGAAUCUUCCGCAAUGGGCGAAAGCCUGACGGAGCAACGCCGCGUGAGUGAUGAAGGUCUUCGGAUCGUAAAACUCUGUUAUUAGGGAAGAACAUAUGUGUAAGUAACUGUGCACAUCUUGACGGUACCUAAUCAGAAAGCCACGGCUAACUACGUG
rnacentral:rRNA from 1 species